rnacentral:rRNA from 1 species
AACGAACGCUGGCGGCAGGCCUAAUACAUGCAAGUCGAACGGGCGUAGCAAUACGUCAGUGGCGGACGGGUGAGUAACACGUGGGAACAUGCCUUUCGGUUCGGAAUAACGCAGGGAAACUUGCGCUAAUACCGGAUGACCCGGCGACGGAAAAGAUUUAUCGCCGAAAGAUUGGCCCGCGUAGGAUUAGCUAGUUGGUGAGGUAACGGCCCACCAAGGCGACGAUCCUUAGCUGGUUUGAGAGAACGAUCAGCCACACUGGGACUGAGACACGGCCCAGACUCCUACGGGAGGCAGCAGUAGGGAAUCUUGGACAAUGGGGGAACCCGUACAUCCACGCACUGCCGCCGUGAGUGAUGAAGGCCGUUCGGUUGGUUAAA